rnacentral:lncRNA from 1 species
GGUGAUGCACAACUUUUGUGAAGAGUGUUUUUCGAUUUAUGUGAUUGUCGGUAAACGACCAAUCACAAAUACUCGACACUCCAAGGUUGCCUUGAAACUUGGAACCUUAAGGAGAGAGUUUGUGAUACUCCCUCUCACAGUGUGAUGACCUCUGGCCGGAGCGACAGAAGCGUUGGGAGAGUUUUUGAUACUCUUCCCUUGAAAUUUGACGACUUCUGGCCAAAGCGACAGAAGUGUCGGGAG